rnacentral:rRNA from 1 species
CCCGCCUGGGGAGUACGGGCCGCAAGGCUAAAACUCAAAAGAAUUGACGGGGGCUCGCACAAGCGGUGGAGCAUGUGGCUUAAUUCGAUUGCAACGCGAAAAACCCUUACCGGGGCUUGACAUGGUAGAAGUAGGAACCCGAAAGGGUAACGAACGGUAUCCAGUCCGUAGCUAUCACAGGUGUUGCAUGGCUGUCGUCAGCUCGUGUCGUGAGACGUUGGGUUAAGUCCCCUAACGAGCGAAACCCUUGUUUUUAGUUACCAGCGGGUUGUGCCGGGUACUCUAGAAAGACUGCCGUCGUCAAGACGGAGGAAGGUGGGGAUGACGUCAAGUCAUCAUGGCCCUUAUGCCCCGGGCUGCACACGUGCUACAAUGGUCGGUACAAACGGAUGCGAAGCCGAGAGGUGAAGCGAAUCCUAAAAAGCCGAUCUCAGUUCGGAUUGGAGGCUGAAAUUCGCCUCCAUGAAGUUGGAAUCGCUAGUAAUCGCGGAUCAGCAGUGCCGCGGUGAAUAUGUUCCCGAGCCUUGUACACACCGCCCGCAAGCCACCCAAGCAGGAUGCACCCGAAAACAUUAUAUCUAA